GUGGAAGCGAUUCGCCAUUAAAUAAAAGAAGAAGAAGAAGAAUUACGCCAUCUGGUGUCACAAACAAACGUGUGCCUGCAUUAGCUUUGUUACGGCAAUGGAUUGUGGGAGAUUCUCAUAACAUGUGAGGAUCUCUCGAGGGUAAGGUGCCUGUAUUAUUUUGGUGGACAAAAUGUAUGUUUUUAUUUUAUAAGGACUAUAACGUUUUGUUGUGUUUGUUUAGUUUAAUGUUAAUCGUUUAAUGCUCACACAGCAGCAUGUUUUUUGUGUGUUUGGCUAUUGGUUUUAUAUGAUUUAUCAACGUGAUCAUCAAUAGCUAAUCUGAGCUAAUAAGCUAAUGGGAGAGCUGCUCCACACGAUGCCUCGACUACAAAGUCUUCCAUGUUUCUACGCUUCUUCCUCUGUGUCACAGUUUCGGGAAUAUCAAGAUCAUUGCACAGGGCCUUGGUCUUGCUUUCUCGUCACUUCUGUAACUUUUCAGUGUGUUCUCAACUGCUGUUUUGUAAUUUACUGCCUGCACCAAGUCAAUUGUUUCUUUCUGCAGGUAUUUGUGCAGGCCCUGAGUGGUUGAGAGCAGUGUCUGGAACAGGACAAGCAUGUAGAUGGUACUGCAUUUGCAAAACUUGCUUUCCAGCCCCUUUGCCAGAGGGGCUGAAAGGCUCCCUAAAGUCUUGAUCAAAGCAGGGAGGUUUUUGACAUGCCCAGCGAACAAGUUAUUUGUCCCCUACCUCUAGCUGUUUCUGAAAUGUUUGCAAUCUCUAAUGGUGGAGAAGAAAGAGUAGAGACACUCCAGGAGAUCAACGCAGGAAAGUAAUCACCAACUGUGAGUGAUCUGUUGCCGAGGGGACACUACACCGGAGUUACAUAAGCAGAGGUGGAAGUGUUAGGCUAAAUCGCCUUGGUUUGACCUUCGCAAAUCGGUCGACGACCUCCCCAUGGAGGGUGACAUGCCUGUAUGCCAAUUCAUAUUUUUUCCCCAACUCCAGAAAACCUGUUUUGAAGCUCCUCCAGCAUUCUGUCGAGAACUGGAAAGAAGAGCCUUGUGUAUGUUUGACUUUUCAUGUUCUCGAAAAUAAUCCAAUGCACGCUUCCAGUUUGUGUAUCCUGAGGUGGUGAGGGUGUCCCUUUGAUCGCUUUGGUUUGCCAUAUAGUCUACAACUAAAGCAGAAUGCUGCAUUGGCAGUGGUAGAAUAUUCAACCCAUUUAAAAGUAUCAAACCAACUUGGUUGAAAUGAUCUCUUUUGCUGGCCAAACAUGCCGGAUGGAAAACAGUGAUGUCUCACUUGCCUUGGCCCUGUAUCUGCAGUCCCUAAAUCAGUUCCCCAGUUACCCAUUGACUCUUGUCUGUUCUGAUGUUCCUGUUCAUUGUUGUUCUUAUCUGUUGUAUCUCCUUCUUGUGUGUCCCUUUCUCCUGUUCUCCUCUCUUCAUCCUCUACUAUUUU